UACAGAGGUGGCAAGCGUUGUUCGGAAUUACUGGGCGUAAAGGGCGCGUAGGCGGUUCGUUAAGUCCUGUGUGAAAUCCCCCGGCUCAACUGGGGAACUGCACAGGAAACUAGCGGGCUUGAGUUCGGGAGAGGGAAGCGGAAUUCCGGGUGUAGCGGUGAAAUGCGUAGGAUAUCCGGAGGAACACUGGUGGCGAAGGCGGCUUCCUGGACCGACACUGACGCUGAGGCGCGAAAGCUAGGGGAGCAAACGGG
rnacentral:rRNA from 1 species